GUGCCCACAACCAAUAGCAUAUUAAAACCACAAUAAAUGGGGUAUUCAAUCGAAUGGGAUGAUUUAUAUAAGUUCAGAAAAUCAAAAUAACUUCUCUAUUAUUUUAGCAAGCAAAUAAGUACAGAAGCCAGAGCAGCAGGGUUAAAACUUAAAUAGCAGUU